GAGUUUGAUCUUGGCUCAGGACGAACGCUGGCGGCGUGCUUAACACAUGCAAGUCGAACGGUAAGGCUCCAGCUUGCUGGGGUACACGAGUGGCGAACGGGUGAGUAACACGUGGGUGACCUGCCCUGCACUUCGGGAUAAGCCUGGGAAACUGGGUCUAAUACCGGAUAGGACCGCACCGUGAGGGUGUGGUGGAAAGUUUUUUCGGUGUGGGAUGGGCCCGCGGCCUAUCAGCUUGUUGGUGGGGUAAUGGCCUACCAAGGCGGCGACGGGUAGCCGGCCUGAGAGGGUGGACGGCCACAUUGGGACUGAGACACGGCCCAGACUCCUACGGGAGGCAGCAGUGGGGAAUAUUGCACAAUGGGCGGAAGCCUGAUGCAGUGACGCCGCGU
rnacentral:rRNA from 1 species